UUGACCUCGGAUCANGUAGGACUACCCGCUGAACUUAAGCAUAUCAAUAAGCGGAGGAA
rnacentral:rRNA from 1 species